AUGGCCCAUGUGCUCACUUUCAGAAAGUAGUAGGGGUUGUCUUCCAGUGUACUUCCCAAUCACCAUUAGAAGGACCCCACUGGAAUAGGUCUUCAGACUUUAUUGUCAUUUAGUUCCAUCUCCUGCUUCAUCAAUGUACUCCUUGAAUGAUGCCUGUUCAUCGUAUGAGCAAAGUUGUUUACACCAAGCUCCCCAACACAACAUCAAUACUCAACGAGUGACAACACCUCCAUCCUAUCCAGGCCAAGCCUGUCCACCAUCACCUUUCAAUAUGACAGUAAAGUAAAUGUUUUAGGUCAAUAAUUUCUUCUUUUUUUUCCUAAUUUUUACGAAACUUUUUACAUACUUUGUUAAAAGCGUGGCUCAUCAUUCUCUAUCUAGAGAAUUAUAGCAUUUAUUAUGUUUAAGUUAAUAUUUUCAUAUUUAUAAUAGAACCCAAUUUAAUAUUAAACUACAGUUCUUUAACAGAGCUCAGAUAUUUAAGUUUUUAAGUUUAUUUAUUUGAUCUAAAUACCGUCAAACCUCAAUUUGAAGCCCUGGGCUUCUUUCGAGAUGGGUUUCUUUUCGAGGCUACUUUUGCAAACUAAAGAGGAGGCUUCAAUUUGAGAUGGGCUUCUUCUCAAGAUUAAGCCCAUUGGGCUUCUACUCGUGGUUUUGUGGUAUAUCAAUACUAAUUGCUUUCAAUUAUUGUACCACAAGACUCAUUUUGUCACGAUAGCUCACAUAUUCUUGGCAAAGGCUUAUAAAUUUUGCUGGUAAUCAAUACAAAAUAUUUUACUAUAAUUUUUGGUAAAAAAGUAACUAAAUCAGCAAAUUUGUAUCUCAUAUGGGCACAUCAUGACUAUAUGGGCACAUCAUGACUAUAUAUGGCCACAUCAUGACUAUAUAUGGGCACAUCAUGACUAUAUAUGGGCACAUCAUGACUGUAUAUGGGCAUACAACAGUGUUUUGUCAAAUGAAAUUGCUUUGAACAAUAUCACAUAUUUUUGGAUCCACACAAGGCACUGACCCCAGAGCAUCACUGCUGUUCUUGUUACCAACGCAAAACUUCAAAAGCGUCUAGCAUCGCCAGUUUUGAACGAACGUUCAUCACUCUUUUUUUAAGUUGGACCUCAGGGUUGCCCACACACUUACAAAACAAAAUAGGGGUUUGAGCAAGGACUGUACAUUACUGCCAUUACCACUAAUAGUGCACGUUGCAUGGAUGGUUCGGUCGGUUUUUAAGGAUGUGUUCUAAUGAACUUAUGUUGUGAGUUUGAAUUGCAUCUUGAUAUUCAGUUAUAAUUUUUUCCAAUUUUAAGAAAUUUUAUUUUUUUCAAUUUUAAAAAUAUUUUGAUUUUGUAUUAAUUAAACAUUCUAAAUAAUAUUUUUUUGUUAUUAGCUCUUCAAAAAAAACCCUAAUGUAAUAACUUGCCACCGUAAUUUAAGCGUGGAGGAAUGCGCGGACGAGUGAGCGGUUGCUGUUGUUUAUUGUUGGUUGUUUUAUUGUUGUUUAUUUGUAUGUUGUUGGGGAGAUUUAUUUUUUCUCUAUAGUAAUGCUUUACUGAGUUUUGACAGUUCUUGUAAAUUUUACCUAAUACUUUUUAAAUUUAAACAGAUUAAAUUUUUGUGUUUUUUGAUCAUGGAAUAAAUAGGAA
rnacentral:lncRNA from 1 species